rnacentral:rRNA from 1 species
GGCGGAAUGCUUUACACAUGCAAGUCGAACGAUGAAGUCUAGCUUGCUAGACGGAUUAGUGGCGAACGGGUGAGUAAUAUAUCGGAACGUAUCCAUUAAUGGGGGAUAACUAGUCGAAAGAUUGGCUAAUACCGCAUACGUCCUACGGGAGAAAGCUAGGGACCUUCGGGCCUGGCGUUAAUGGAGCGGCCGAUAUCUGAUUAGCUAGUUGGUGAGGUAAAGGCUCACCAAGGCGACGAUCAGUAGCUGGUCUGAGAGGACGACCAGCCACACUGGAACUGAGACACGGUCCAGACUCCUACGGGAGGCAGCAGUGGGGAAUUUUGGACAAUGGGCGAAAGCCUGAUCCAGCCAUUCCGCGUGAGUGAAGAAGGCCUUCGGGUUGUAAAGCUCUUUCGCAAGGGAAGAAAACUUAAUCUCUAACAUAGAUUGAGGUUGACGGUACCUUGAUAAGAAGCACCGGCUAACUACGUGCCAGCAGCCGCGGUAAUACGUAGGGUGCGAGCGUUAAUCGGAAUUACUGGGCGUAAAGCGUGCGCAGGCUGUUUUGUAAGUCAGAUGUGAAAUCCCUGGGCUCAACCUAGGAACUGCGUUUGAAACUACAAGACUAGAAUAUGUCAGAGGGGGGUAGAAUUCCACGUGUAGCAGUGAAAUGCGUAGAGAUGUGGAGGAAUACCAAUGGCGAAGGCAGCCCCCUGGGACAAUAUUGACGCUCAUGCACGAAAGCGUGGGGAGCAAACAGGAUUAGAUACCCUGGUAGUCCACGCCCUAAACGAUGUCUACUAGUUGUUGGUGGAGUAAAAUCCAUGAGUAACGCAGCUAACG